rnacentral:rRNA from 1 species
UACGUAGGGGGCUAGCGUUGUCCGGAAUCAUUGGGCGUAAAGCGCGUGUAGGCGGUCCGGUAAGUCCGCUGUGAAAGUCGAGGGCUCAACCCUCGAAUGCCGGUGGAUACUGUCGGGCUAGAGUGCGGAAGAGGCGAGUGGAAUUCCUGGUGUAGCGGUGAAAUGCGCAGAUAUCAGGAGGAACACCGAUGGCGAAGGCAGGUCUCUGGGCCACUACUGACGCUGAGACGCGAAAGCGUGGGGAGCAAACAGG